CGGGACCUGGGUUCUCUGUGACGUCCUGGCCUUCAGCUAAGGAGCAUGUUGGCAUGGGAUGUGGGAAAUGGCAAGACCCCAGAAAUGGACAGAUAGAAGGAAAGACGGCUGCUAAGCAGACAUUAUGCUACACAGAGUCCAGGCCAGCCCAUGUCGCAGAGCGGUUACUUACAUUAAGAAAGGAUUCUGUGUCAAGUGUUUGAGUUAAUUUCUACCUCUUAGGAUCGAGGAAGUAGGGUUUAAUAUUUCCAUGUAGGGAGAGGAACACCCAGGCUCAGGGAAGUAACUGACCUACUCUCGCGUGGUUCCAGAGGUGGAUUUUCGGACACCAAAGUCGCUCUCCCACCCUGAAGGUCCCAUUCAAGCCAGAGCCGGAGUGUAAGGUCAUGGAUUCUCCCACUCGCUUGCCCUAGGGGUUAAAUUGUACACUGCCCCUGUUAAGGCAUAUCCAGGACUUUAAAGGUCUCCCUGUUGGCCAACACUAACCUGGGAUGGUGAAGUCAGGAUAAUGAAUUCCCUUCACUUACCCUUCAGAAGCACGUUUUAUUCAGCAGUUUCAGAAGUGAAUCCCACUGAACCUUACUGGUUGGAGAAUUCUAUUGUUUCAAAACUUCUCUAAAGAGCAUAGAGAAGGAGAAACUCUUCUAUAUUAUUCCGGUAAUUUGUAUAUCAAUGAUAACCAGAUACAAUCACCAUAAUCUAAGGAAAUCUCAGUGAAAUAUUUUGCGCUUUCCAGGCCCCCUUUCUCUCAGUACUGUAUAGUGAGAAGAAUUCUAGCUUUUAAACUGGCAUGGUGGUACAUGCCUGUAAUCCCAGGAUGCUGGGAGGUUGAAGCAGGAGGAUCAGAAGUUCAAGCCCUCCUUAGUUAACAACUUAGUGAGAUUCUGUCCCAAAAUAUAAAAUAAAACAGGAUGGGAAUAUAGUUCAGGGUAGAGGCUCUCAUUUCAGUCUCCAGUAACACACACACACACA
rnacentral:lncRNA from 1 species